GGGAUUAUCUCCUGGGACAUGUAUUUUUCCCUAGGGUUGAUGUUGUAAAUCCUUCUGCCCCCUACCUUUUCCAUGUCCAGAAGCUUUGCUAUGGACUUCUCUGUGAUGACCAUUUUAACCCCCAGGACGUAGGAGACAAUGCAGUGGUCGUCACAGUCUGCACCAGAACUCUUUUACCAUGAAGGUGUAUAUCGGACCAUAGAGCCUCUUGAA
rnacentral:lncRNA from 1 species